rnacentral:rRNA from 1 species
UAUGUAGGUGGCGAGCGUUGUCCGGAUUUACUGGGCGUAAAGAGCGCGCAGGCGGUCGUUCAAGUCGCGUGUGAAAGCCCCCGGCUCAACUGGGGAGGGUCACGCGAUACUGAUCGACUCGAAGGCAGGAGAGGGAAGUGGAAUUCCCGGUGUAAGUGGUGAAAUGCGUAGAUAUCGGGAGGAACACCAGUGGCGAAGGCGAACUUCCUGGCCUGUUCUUGACGCUGAGGCGCGAAAGCUAGGGGAGCAAACGGGG